AUGCGCCAGCUAAGGCUCGUCACCAACAUGAGGGCUCAUAAUGACACCUGGUUUGCGGAUUACUUGCUAAGGGUAGGCAAUGGCACCGAGGAAGUUGACGAUCAAGGAAACAUACGACUCCCUGAAGAUAUUUGUGUGCCGUCUACAGGCGAGGGUGACGACCUGGAGAAGCUGAUUGACCAUGUGUUUCCGAGACUAGAUGACAACAUGUCCGAUCCGAAUUACAUGACUUCACGCGCAAUCCUCUCCACCACGAACGACAACGUCGACAAGAUAAACAUACGCAUGGUAGAGCGUUUUCGGGGAGAAGAAAGUAAUCUACCAUAG
rnacentral:rRNA from 1 species